AUUGAACGCUGGCGGCAGGCCUCACACAUGCAAGUCGAACGAGUGGCGGACGGGUGAUUAAUGUCUGGGAAACUGCCCGAUGGAGGGGGAUAACUACUGGACACGGUAGCUAAUACCGCAUACCAUCUGAUGUGCCCAUAUGGGCUUAGCUCGUAGGUGGGGUAAUGGCUCACAUGGGCGACGAUCCCUAGCUGGUCUGAGAGAAUGCCCAGCCAACCUGGAACUGGGAAACGGCCCAGACUCCUACGGGAGGCAGCAGUGGGGAAGAUUGCACAAUGGGCGCAAGCCUGAUGAAGACAGGCCGCGUGGAUGAAGAAGGCUUUCGGGUUGUAAAGUACUUUCAGCGAGGAGGCGUUACUCGCAGAAGAAGCACCGGCUAACUCCGUGCCAGCAGCCGCGGUAAUAC
rnacentral:rRNA from 1 species